UACAGAGGUCUCAAGCGUUUGUUCGGAUUCAUUGGGCGUAAAGGGUGCGUAGGUGGCGCCGUAAGUCGGGUGUGAAAUUUCGGAGCUUAACUCCGAAACUGCAUUCGAUACUGCGGUGCUUGAGGACUGGAGAGGAGACUGGAAUUUAUGGUGUAGCAGUGAAAUGCGUAGAGAUCAUAAGGAAGACCAGUGGCGAAGGCGGGUCUCUGGACAGUUCCUGACACUGAGGCACGAAGGCCAGGGGAGCAAACGGG
rnacentral:rRNA from 1 species